UAGCUUCCUAGAGAGAGAAGGACUGGGCUGCCUGGGAAGCUAAGAAGGGUACCUAGGGUGGAACAGUGCUGUGGGAGGGCAGAGGGAGCUGGGGAGCUCCACCCGAACAAACCCCCAGGCUGCAGGCCUAGUUAAGGACACACAAAAGGUACUAGCAGGGUACCUGAAGUGGAGCAGUGCUGGGGAAGGGCAGAGGAAACUAGGGAGCUCCAGCCUAGCAAAGCUCCAGGCCUAGUGAAAGGCUUAUGAAAGAGUACUGGGGUUGCAGAGGGGCAGCCUGGAGAUAGGCAGCUGGUCCAACGCCCCUUGCCGAUGAUGAGUGGUUCAUAGAUUGCAGUCUGCCCCAGGAAGCAGGGGUUAGAUGGUGACUGGCAGUGGGCACUGAGGCAAGGUGGGGGUAGAGGGUUGGGGGAAUCCACUGGGUGGAGACUCGGAUUGUGGGUUACUGUUGGGGCGGAACCCUGACGAGGAGGGCACUGGGGUCUGGGAGGGACAUGGGGGCCAGUGGCAGGCAAGACACUGGCCUGCAGAGGGCGCUCCUGGCCAGAAGAGUUAAUUCCCAGGAUGACCGACAGGAGGCGCCACACCGAUGUCGUGAAACAUCUCAAUAGCCUUUGGGCCUGCUGAUUUGUACAGUUCUGCUGGAAUACCAUCCUUUCUGGACACCUUGCCAGAGUUCAAUUGUUUGAUGGAUUUCAUGAACUCUUCAACUGAUGGAGCAGGCUGUAUCCCCUAAAGUAUUGUCUGACUCUCCCUUGGUGUUUUAGCAUAGAUACCAGCUCACCAAAUUCAUCCCUGAGACCACUCAAGUAACACCUAUACUAGAUAGCAGGAAAGUGCAUGGAAGAACAUCACAUUCUGAUCUCCACUGUUGAAGACCUACCACUCAAAGUGCUUCACAAGCAGGAAAUGACUACAUUUCAAAACGUUAUAUUCUUCAGAAACUACUUCCUUUAUUUCAAGACUAUUAUGGAAGAUUUGCACUUUUUCCCCUUCAGUAGUUUAGAGUCAUCUUAGCUGUUAGUGUUUAAAAAACAAACUGUAGAAAACAUUCAUGCAUGAAAAUCAUUACUGCUGCUUUUGUUAUAGGGAUGAUACAGGUUUCCCAUCCCCCAGUAAAUACUAUUAUUGAAAUGUUUCCAUAUCUUGUCUUUUUUUGUGUGUGCACAGGUGCAAAGCAUU